rnacentral:rRNA from 1 species
AGUAGCCUACGGGGGGCAGCAGUGGGGAAUAUUGCACAAUGGGGGGAACCCUGAUGCAGCGACGCCGCGUGAGUGAAGAAGUAUUUCGGUAUGUAAAGCUCUAUCAGCAGGGAAGAAAAUGACGGUACCUGACUAAGAAGCCCCGGCUAACUACGUGCCAUCAGCCGCGGUAAUACGUAGGGGGCAAGCGUUAUCCGGAUUUACUGGGUGUAAAGGGAGCGUAGACGGCAGAGCAAGUCUGAAGUGAAAGCCCGUGGGGC